rnacentral:rRNA from 1 species
UACGUAGGGUGCAAGCGUUGUCCGGAAUUAUUGGGCGUAAAGAGCUCGUAGGCGGUCUGUCGCGUCUGCUGUGAAAACUCAGGGCUUAACCCUGAGCUUGCAGUGGGUACGGGCAGACUAGAGUGCGGUAGGGGAGACUGGAAUUCCUGGUGUAGCGGUGGAAUGCGCAGAUAUCAGGAGGAACACCGAUGGCGAAGGCAGGUCUCUGGGCCACUACUGACGCUGAGAAGCGAAAGCAUGGGGAGCGAACAGG